rnacentral:miRNA from 1 species
CACUGCCAGUACUGAUGGUUAC